GGUCGCAGAAAUCCGCCAAUAAUGUGUAACUCUUAAUCAGCGGGUCCAAGGUUCGAGUCCUUGUGCGCCCACCA
rnacentral:tRNA from 1 species